rnacentral:rRNA from 1 species
UGGGGAAUUUUGGACAAUGGACGCAAGUCUGAUCCAGCCAUGCCGCGUGCGGGAAGAAGGCCUUCGGGUUGUCACCCGCUUUUGUCCGGGCAGAAACGAGUUUCUCUAAUACAGCGACUUCCUGCCGGUCCCUGCAGCCUCCGACCCGGCUCCCUCCGUGCCCGCAGCCGCGGUAAUACGUAGGGUGCAAGCGUUAAUCGGAAUUACUGGGCGUAAAGCGUGCGCAGGCGGUUAUGCAAGACCGAGGUGAAAUCCCCGGGCUCACCCUGGGAACUGCCUUUGUGACUGCAUAGCUAGAGUACGGUAGAGGGGGAUGGAAUUCCGCGUGUAGCAGUGAAAUGCGUAGAUAUGUGGAGGAACACCGAUGGCGAAGGCAAUCCCCUGGACCUGUACUGACGCUCAUGCACGAGAGCGUGGGGAGCAAACA